UAAUAAGUGUUUUAUGGCACUUUUAAAUCCAUAUCCACCUUGUGUGCAAUGUCAGUCGAUCUUCUUUUCAUGGAGAUCGACCAAACAUCAACCUUUAUCUUUUAACUCUUUGUCUGAAAAAUAUUACGAUAAACAAUUCAAAUA
rnacentral:misc_RNA from 1 species